GUUUUUUUUGGCAAAAUAUUAUUGAAAUGUAAAAAUUACACAGAUAGGCGACAUAAUAUUUAUAUCUUUUCAAAAUGGGCUCUGAGUACUUUAGUUUAUCACUGGCUUUCAGCCAGGAAGAUCAGGGCCUCUAAAAGAGUGAUUUAGGCACCUGUUGCAGAAAUGGAUGAUGAGCUCCAAGUCACUUCUGACUGAGCAUGGGAAAAGGAGAAACUUAAUUCAUUAUGGUCAUAUGUGAUGCCUUAGAAAAUGCAUUUAGCAUCUCAGUCAGAUAACUGUCAAUAGAACAAAUUAGGAUCAAAUAUUCUACUGAUGACUGAAGACUUUGGAGUAGAGAGGUGGUAGUAGACCAGUUAAUGAUUAUGUAUAGUUUUUUUUAACUAUUUUAUUUUCAGAGAAGACAAGAAAAAGAAAAAAGGAGAGGAUAUAGCUAUGUGAAGCUAUUUUGGACAGAUACUACAGCUAUCCAGAACAAAAUCUUUUGGAGAUCUUGGAGAGAUGAAGAAGUAACCAGUUUUCUCCAAACUAAAAUGCAGCUCCUAUCAAGAAAAUGUUGCCUCUGACACCUUAUUUGGCUUGAGUCUUCUGCAUUCCUGGAUGGGAAAUUUUAGCCUUCGAAGCCCACAGAAUGUAAAUAUGAAAUAUUUUGUUGUGCAGUGAAUCAUAUUCAGCACCUGUAUCAUCACUGAUGAUAUGUUUCAGUUAUCUGAUUGACUUAUGUCUAGCAACAGCAGCACCAUGCAGAAUAGAAAAGUUUCUUUGAUAGUGUAGAUAAACCUAACCAACAACUGCAGGCUGAAGAUGUUAUUAUAGCCCAUGUGCUGACGAAAGUUUUGCAAAUCGUAAAAUCCUAUUAGAUUUUACAUCUGGCACUAUCUUUCAGGUAAGAUCAGAAGAUCUCCUUUGAAGGAUUUCUUAUUCUUCUGGUGGAAAGUGCUAGCUUUGUUGAAAACAAUAUUUUUGACACUAACAGCAUAGCUUUGUCUGGAACUGUUCCACAUUUGGAGGAAAAAAAACUACAUUGUAUGGCUUUCUCCCUUAUACCAUAGGAAGCCACAGCCAAACGAUUAAUAACUGAACAUCUAGGGCAGCGGAGUCCCUUGUCUUGCCAUCUCAGAUAAGAUAACACAUUAUUUUAGGGGUAUUCAAAUCAAGCAUGAGAGAGAGCUAAUGAAGAGAAAGGGAUUGUGAAAGGUAUAGUGAUAGUUUCCCUCAGGUCAGACAUGCAGUUUGGCUUCAUGUGGUGCUGAAG
rnacentral:lncRNA from 1 species